GACCUCGUAGCUCAGAUCGUAGAGCGUGCUAUUUACAAAGCGUAGGUGGCGUCCAUGCGUGGGUUCGAAUCCCAACGAGGCUA
rnacentral:tRNA from 1 species